rnacentral:rRNA from 1 species
UUCUUGGUCAUUUAGAGGAAGUAAAAGUCGUAACAAGGUUUCCGUAGGUGAACCUGCGGAAGGAUCAUUACAGAAGGUAAACGCGGAUCAAACCGCGAACUUCUAAACCUUUGACGAUCGACUCAUGUUGCCUCGGCGGGUGCUCCCGCCAGAGGAUACAUCAAAACUCAUGUUUUAACGGUGUUGUCUGAGCUACAAGCAACGAAUCAAAACUUUCAACAACGGAUCUCUUGGUUCUGGCAUCGAUGAAGAACGCAGCGAAAUGCGAUAAGUAGUGUGAAUUGCAGAAUUCAGUGAAUCAUCGAAUCUUUGAACGCACAUUGCGCCCCUUGGUAUCCCGAGGGGCAUGCCUGUUCGAGCGUCAUUUCACCACUCAAGCCUGGCUUGGUGUUGGGCGACGUCCCCUUUGGGGACGCGCCUCGAAACGCUCGGCGGCGUGGCACCGGCUUUAAGCGUAGCAGAAUCUUUCGCUUUGAAAGUCGGGGCCCCGUCUGCCGGAAGACCUACUCGCAAGGUUGACCUCGGAUCAGGCAGGGAUACCCGCUGAACUUAAGCAUAUCAAUAAGCGGAGGAA